rnacentral:rRNA from 1 species
CAGCCGCCGCGGGAAAACGGAGGGAGCUAGCGUUAUUCGGAAUUACUGGGCGUAAAGCGCACGUAGGCGGCUUUGUAAGUUAGAGGUGAAAGCCUGGAGCUCAACUCCAGAAUUGCCUUUAAGACUGCAUCGCUUGAAUCCAGGAGAGGUGAGUGGAAUUCCGAGUGUAGAGGUGAAAUUCGUAGAUAUUCGGAAGAACACCAGUGGCGAAGGCGGCUCACUGGACUGGUAUUGACGCUGAGGUGCGAAAGCGUGGGGAGCAAACAGGAUUAGAUACCCCUGUAGUCCCUGUCUCUUAUAC